AAUGAACGCUGGCGGCAGGCCUAACACAUGCAAGUCGAACGGAUCCUUCGGGAUUAGUGGCGGACGGGUGAGUAACGCGUGGGAACAUACCCAAAGGUACGGAAUAGCCUCGGGAAACUGGGAGUAAUACCGUAUGUGCUCGAAAGAGGAAAGAUUUAUCGCCUUUGGAUUGGCCCGCGUUGGAUUAGGUAGUUGGUGGGGUAAUGGCCUACCAAGCCGACGAUCCAUAGCUGGUUUGAGAGGAUGAUCAGCCACACUGGGACUGAGACACGGCCCAGACUCCUACGGGAGGCAGCAGUGGGGAAUCUUAGACAAUGGGGGAAACCCUGAUCUAGCCAUGCCGCGUGAUCGAUGAAGGCCUUAGGGUUGUAAAGAUCUUUCAGGUGGGAAGAUAAUGACUGUACCACCAGAAGAAGCCCCGGCUAACUUCGUGCCAGCCGACGCGGUAA
rnacentral:rRNA from 1 species